rnacentral:rRNA from 1 species
UACGUAGGGGGCUAGCGUUGUCCGGAAUCAUUGGGCGUAAAGAGCGCGUAGGCGGCCAGAUAAGUCCGGUGUGAAAGUCACAGGCUCAACCUGUGAAUGCCGCUGGAAACUGUAUGGCUAGAGUCCGGAAGGGGCGAGUGGAAUUCCUGGUGUAGCGGUGAAAUGCGCAGAUAUCAGGAGGAACACCGGUGGCGAAGGCGGAUCUCUGGGCCAUUACUGACGCUGAGGAGCGAAAGCGUGGGGAGCGAACAGG